UUGAACGCUGGCGGCAUGCCUUACACAUGCAAGUCGAGCGGCAGCAGCGGGUGCUUGCAACCCUGGUGGCGAGUGGCGAACGGGUGAGUAAUGCAUCGGAACGUACCUCAUUAGUGGGGGAUAACAGUAGCGAAAGUACUGGCUAAUACCGCAUGAUGCACUUGAGCAGGGAAGGCGGGGGAUCGCUAAGGACCUCGCGCGCGAUGGAGCGGCCGAUGUCGGAUUAGCUAGUUGGGGAGGUAAUGAGCUCACCAAGGCGGACGAUCCGUAGCUGGUCUGAGAGGAUGAUCAUGCCACACUGGGACUGAGACACGGCCCAGACUCCUACGGGAGGCAAGCAGUGGGGAAUUUUGGACAAUGGGGGCAACCCUGAUCCAGCCAUGCCGCGUGAUGUGAAGAAGGCCUUCGGGUUGUAAAGCUCUUUCGGACGGGAAGAAAUCGUACGGGAAUUAUACCCAGUGCGGAUGACGGUACCCGCAAGAAGAAGCACCGGUUAACUACGUGCCAGCAGCCGCGGUAAUACGUAGGGUGCGAGCGUUAAUCGGAAUUACUGGGCGUAAAGCUGUGCGCAGGCGGUUCGUAAGAUCAGACGUGAAAGCCCCGGGCUCAACCUGGGAACUUGCGUUUGAACUACGAGGCUAGAGUGUAGGCAGAGGGAGGUGGAAUUCCACGUGUAGCAGGUGAAAUGCGUAGAGAUGUGGAGGAACACCAAUGGCGAAGGCAGCCCUCUGGGCUAACACUGACGCUCAUGCACGAAAGCGUGGGGAGCAAACAGAUUAGAUACCCUGGUAGUCCACGCCCUAAACGAUGUCAGACUAGGUGUUGGAGGAGUUAAAUCCUUUAGUACCGCAGCUAACAGCGUGAAGUCGAUCCGCCUGGGGAGUACGGUCGCAAGGAUUAAAACUCAAAGGAAUUGACGGGGACCCGCACAAGCGGUGGAUUAUGUGGAUUAAUUCGAUGCAACGCGAAAAACCUUACCUACCCUUGACAUGUCCGGAAGGCUUGAGAGAAUGCAGGCGGUGCCCGAAAGGGAACCUAGACACAGGUGCUGCAUGGCUGUCGUCAGCUCGUGUCGUGAGAUGUUGGGUUAAGUCCCGCAACGAGCGCAACCCUUGUCAUUAGUUGCUACAUUCGGUUGGGCACUCUAAUGAGACUGCCGGUGACAAACCGGAGGAAGGUGGGGAUGACGUCAAGUCCUCAUGGCCCUUAUGGGUAGGGCUUCACACGUAAUACAAUGGCGCGUACAGAGGGUUGCCAAGGGGCGACCUGGAGCCAAUCCCUUAAAGCGCGUCGUAGUCCGGAUUGCAGUCUGCAACUCGACUGCAUGAAGUCGGAAUCGCUAGUAAUCGCGGAUCAGCAUGUCGCGGUGAAUACGUUCCCGGGUCUUGUACACACCGCCCGUCACACCAUGGGAGUGGGUUUCACCAGAAGCCGGUCGCUUAACCCGCAAGGGAUGGCGCCGACCACGGUGAGAUUCAUGACUGGGGUG
rnacentral:rRNA from 1 species